rnacentral:rRNA from 1 species
AGAUUGAACGCUGGCGGCAUGCCUUACACAUGCAAGUCGAACGGCAGCACGGGAGCAAUCCUGGUGGCGAGUGGCGAACGGGUGAGUAAUAUAUCGGAACGUGCCCAGUCGUGGGGGAUAACGCAGCGAAAGCUGUGCUAAUACCGCAUACGAUCUAUGGAUGAAAGCGGGGGAUCGCAAGACCUCGCGCGAUUGGAGCGGCCGAUAUCAGAUUAGCUAGUUGGUGGGGUAAAAGCCUACCAAGGCGACGAUCUGUAGCUGGUCCGAGAGGACCGACCAGCCCACACUAGGAACUGAGACACGGUCCAGACUCCGUAGGGAGGCAGCGAGGUGGGAAUUUUGGACAAGUGGGCGCAAGCCUGAUCCAGCAAUCGCCGCGUGCAGGAUGGAAAGGUCCCUUUAGGGUUACGUAAACUUCGUACGUUUUUGGUAACCGGGUAACGGUAAACCGGGUUU